CCUACGUGGUGCAGCAGUGGGGAAUAUUGGACAAUGGGCGAAAGCCUGAUCCAGCCAUGCCGCGUGUGUGAAGAAGGCCUUCGGGUUGUAAAGCACUUUCAGUGGGGAAGAAAGCCUUGGGGCUAAUACCCUCGAGGAAGGACAUCACCCACAGAAGAAGCACCGGCUAACUCCGUGCCAGCAGCCGCGGUAAUACGGAGGGUGCGAGCGUUAAUCGGAAUUACUGGGCGUAAAGCGCGCGUAGGCGGUCUGAUAAGCCGGUUGUGAAAGCCCCGGGCUCAACCUGGGAACGGCAUCCGGAACUGUCAGGCUAGAGUGCAGGAGAGGAAGGUAGAAUUCCCGGUGUAGCGGUGAAAUGCGUAGAGAUCGGGAGGAAUACCAGUGGCGAAGGCGGCCUUCUGGACUGACACUGACGCUGAGGUGCGAAAGCGUGGGUAGCAAAUAGGAUUAGAUACCCGGGUAGUC
rnacentral:rRNA from 1 species